rnacentral:misc_RNA from 1 species
GAUGAAGAACGCAGCGAAAUGCGAUAGGUAAUGUGAAUUGCAGAAUUCAGUGAAUCAUCGAAUCUUUGAACGCACAUUGCGCCCGCCAGUAUUCUGGCGGGCAUGCCUGUCCGAGCGUCAUUUCAACCAUCAAGCCCCGGGCUUGUGUUGGGGACCUGCGUCCGACGCAGGCCCCGAAAACCAGUGGCGGGCUCGCUGUCCACACCGAGCGUAGUAGCUAACCUCGCUCCGGAGUGGCGCGGGCGCCUGCCGUAAAACCCCCCAAUUUUACAAGGUUGACCUCGGAUCAGGUAGGAAUACCCGCUGAACUUAAGCAUAUCAAUAAGCGGAGGA